CAUGUAGGUAUAUGACCUAUAUGGAUAGUGAGUAAUAAUAUUCACUGCUCUGCCAUUGGGACUGAAGGCUUUGGAAGUGGCUGGGUUCUUAAGAGACUUCUCGUCCACUGAGCCAUCCAUCUUUAAGUGUAAUAGUGUAAAUAGACUUCUCUGAUCUGGCCAACUUCUUUAAAAAGCUCCAGAGGAGAAAUCUUUGGCCCUGUAGUUACCAACACUUGUUGCUGUCAGUGUGUGGAGAAGCAAAGGGUGAACUAUAAAUAAGAAGACCAUGAUAAGGCUGAGAACGACGCUUUUUUGGGGUCUUGUUUUUUUUCUGGUUCAUGUUAGAGGUCAAGAUGAUUUUGAUUUAGCUGAUGCUCUUGAUCAUCCAGAGGAAACAAUUACUAAGAAGCCAGCACCAGUUACCAAAAGGCCAGUGAUUGGUGAGUAAGAAAUUUAAAUUGGCUAAA